rnacentral:rRNA from 1 species
GCUUGUCUCAAAGAUUAAGCCAUGCAUGUGUAAGUAUAAAUAACUCUAUACUAUGAAACUGCGAAUGGCUCAUUAUAUCAGUUAUAGUUUAUUUGAUAAUACUUUACUACUAGGAUAACCGUAGUAAUUCUAGAGCUAAUACAUGCACAAAAUCCCGACUUACGAAGGGAUGUAUUUAUUAGAUACAAACCAACAUCGUGGUGAUUCAUAAUAACUGUUCGAAGCGCACGGCCUCGCGCCGGCGCUAGUUCAUUCAAAUUUCUGCCCUAUCAGCUUUCGACGGUAGUGUAGUGGACUACCGUGGCGCUAACGGGUGACGGAGAAUUAGGGUUCGGUUCCGGAGAGGGAGCCUGAGAAACGGCUACCACAUCCAAGGAAGGCAGCAGG